GACGAACGCUGGCGGCGUGCCUAAUACAUGCAAGUCGAGCGAUGAAGAUUGGUGCUUGCCCCAAUUUGAAGAGCAGCGAACGGGUGAGUCACGCGUGGGGAAUCUGCCUUUGAGCGGAGGACCACAUUUGGAAACGAAUGCUAAUACCGCAUAACAACUUUAAACAUAAGUUUCAAGUUUGAAAGCUGCAAUUGCAUCACUCAAAGAUGAUCCCGAGUUGUAUUAGCUAGUUGGUGAGGUAAAGGCUCACCAAGGCGGUGAUACAUAGCCGAGCUGAGAGGGAGGACCGCCAAAAUGGGACUUGGACAAGGGCCAAACUCCUUCGGGGAGCAGCCGGAGGGGAACGUUGGACAUGGGGGGAAGGCUGAACGAGCAACGGCGCGGGGGGGGAGGAGGGUCUCGGGUUGGAAAAGUCUGUUGGGAGGGAAGAACGUGGGGGAGAGUGGAAAGCUCAUGAAGUGACGGUAACUACCCAGAAAGGGACGGCUAACUACGUG
rnacentral:rRNA from 1 species